CGUAAACGCCUCCGCGUCACUAUGGUAACCCAAUGCUAAAACCUGAAGUUGUGUGUUCGCCGCUUCGAUGCAAAAAUAGUACUUAAUAAUAUAGCCUAUUAAAUUCAGGGUUUGAAGUCCAAGACAAUGAUGGAGAAUUCCGAGGACCUGGACAGAUUUCUGAGCAACGUUGACAAAAUAGGUCAGUUAUUGGAAGAUUUCCAGUCCUCUGACAUUGGAGUGCAGCAAAAAGCCGUAGCAAAAGCAGAUACCUUAAUUACUACCUUGGAUGAACCUUGCAGGACAAAAGUCAACAAGACUACAGUCAACACAAGCCCACUCAUUCAGCCUUCUACGAGUUCAAAUACUAGCAGUCAAGAACAUUUCAUGAAGAUUAUGGCGAGAGAUGCCGAAGAGAGGGGAAGAAAGAGAAUGGUUAAACUGAAGGAGGCAACUGCUCUAAAAAAUAAGGGGAAUGAAGCUUAUGCCCAAGAAGAUUAUGAAACCGCAGUGAAGUGUUACAGUGAUGGAUUGGCUGUACUUAGGGACAUGCAGCCACUCUACACCAACAGAGCACAAGCUUACAUCAAGCUUGAAAGAUAUAAAGAAGCCAUCAUGGACUGCGAGUGGGCCUUGAAGUGUAAUGAAAGAUGCAUAAAAGCUUAUGUACAUAUGGGGAAAGCAUACCUGGGUUUGAAGAAAUAUAAUGAGGCAAGAAGCUGCUUUGAAAAGAUACUGGAGAUUGAACCUGGAAAGGAAAACGUGGUAAAAGAAUAUUUGGACCUGGUAGAUUUAGAAGAGGAAAAAGAUAGCCAGGAGACGGAUGCAAAGAAACAACUUGACGAAGGAGAGAGAAAGGCCACAGCGGUUCCCCAGCUGCUGGAGAAGCUGUCUAGGCCCGGCCAGAUGCCCCUCUAUUACUGUGGAGGAUUGGAGAGCCUGUCACAGGCAGUUACUGACUGUACAGGAAAGACUCUCUUCAGACUGAACAAUGGCUUUAGUAUCAUCAGCAGCAAUGACGUGCUGAAGUGCUGCUUGUUGCAGGAAACAGAUGACCUACUCAGCCAAGAGUUGUGCAUUUCAGUAUUGAGACUUUGGAGGAUCGUUUGUCAUGAAAAUGUUCAAGAAAACCAGAAGAUCCUGAUGAAAUAUCCACUUGCUAGACAGUCUGUUGUGCAGCUGUUAACGUCAGACCAUGCUGAAGUUGUGAAGGAAUGCCUGGAAUUACUGAGUUUGUACUCAAACACUUUGUAUGGCAGACGUUUGGCCAUCGACAACCUAGACCUGCACAUGUUAGUGAGAAACCUCAUGAGGUGCAUCUCUGAACCAAAGCGGCAGCAGGGGAUCACAGCAGGCUGUAUUCUGGAAACCUUUGCUGCUGAAGAUGGAUUUCGGUUGAAGCUGAGAAAUAUGUCGACAGAUUUUGUUGUUAUUCCACUCAAGACAAUACUGGGAAGUAUCAGCAAAUCUAAUCAACAGGUCCUUACAUUACUCAUAUCAGCCAUCGGCUUUCUGGCAAAAGAUGAAGUAAUUUGUCAAAACCUCGCUCAUCAGCGAGAAUGUUGGGAAGCCUUCCUCACUGCUAUUAAACAGUGUGGUUCAUCUGAAUACAACGACGUUAUUCACAUUAUGCUGGGCUUGAUUAUCAACCUAUCAACAGUCAUAUCCUUGACUAUACAGGUGCAUGCUGUUUCUCUCUCUGACUGCUGUCUCGACUUGCUGGAAAGCGCUGACGAAGGAAUUGUGACUAGAGCCAUGGGUGUGUUGAGCACUGUCCUCCCUCAGUCCUCUGAAGCUGUUCACCAUGCUGUUCGAAGGAAAGUCAUUCACACCAUUUGCUGGCUGCUGAAGGGAAAAGGUCAGACUGCCACCAAAUUUGCCAUGAAGACAUUGACGCUUUGCACUGCAGUCAGCGACGCGGCAAGGGAAGAGCUGGUGAAGUCUGAUAAAAAACUCUCCAAUUUACGUCGUUUGCUGCGUUCCAACAGCGAUGAGGUGAUUUCAGGAAAUGCAGCUUUGUGCUUGGCCCAUUGCUUUGAGCUGGAAGGAGUUGCCACCCACCUGCUGGGUACUGAUAUUGUGCUGCUUCUACUGCGGCUCGCUGCAGGGGAGCCUAAGAAGACAGCUGUGCAGCAAAAUGCAGCCAUUGCUCUCAGCAAACUAUGUCGAUCUGAGCCCAGUGUGACAGAAAUUUCAGAUGACAUCUGUGGCAGUGGAAACUACACCGCAGAAAUGAGGCUGAAGAUGGGAACAAGUGUGGAGCCUGGUGAUGUGGUGCCAACCCGAGGGAACCUCAGAGUGAUUAUCAAUCUGAAGACAGACAACAGUCAGAUAAACCUUGGCGUCACCCUCUGUUGCCUGUCACCAACACGUCAGCUGGACUUCAACAACCCUACCUGCUGCUUUUUUUUCAGACCAGGAGAGGAUCAUGCUGCUGCCCAGCACCUUGUCAACCAGUGCCAGUUUUACCAUCAGUCUCUUCCAAAUGAUUAAUUACUCAGUGGUGUACCUACACUGUGAUCUCAGUGUCUGUCUGAGGAACCACUCUAACUGUGAAAGGCAAUGCCUUCAGCAGCGGAGUGUGUUUCCUUCUGAAGGUGCUGACACUGUCACGGUCAAUCUUCGAAAUCGCGUAUCUUUUGGGCCGGUGUUGAAACAAGCAAAAAAUUCAACCUUCCCCCUGGAGAUAGG